AGAUGUGAUCAUACCAGCACUAAAGCGCCGGAUCCCAUCAGAACCCCGAAGUUAAGCGUGCUUGGGUGAGAGUAGUACUAGGAUGGCUGACCU
rnacentral:rRNA from 1 species